GACGAACGCUGGCGGCGUGCUUAACACAUGCAAGUCGAGCGAGAAAAUUCCCUUCGGGGAUGAUUCUAGCGGCGGACGGGUGAGUAACACGUGGGUAACCUGCCUUAUAGUGGGGAAUAGCCUUCCGAAAGGGAGAUUAAUACCGCAUAAGAUUGUAGCUUCGCAUGAUGUAGCAAUUAAAGGAGCAAUUCGCUAUAAGAUGGACCCGCGUCGCAUUAGCUAGUUGGUGAGGUAACGGCUCACCAAGGCGACGAUGCGUAGCCGACCUGAGAGGGUGAUCGGCCACAUUGGGACUGAGACACGGCCCAGACUCCUACGGGAGGCAGCAGUGGGGAAUAUUGCACAAUGGGGGAAACCCUGAUGCAGCAACGCCGCGUGAGUGAUGAAGGUCUUCGGAUUGUAAAACUCUGUCUUUGGGGACGAUAAUGACGGUACCCAAGGAGGAAGCCACGGCUAACUACGUGCCAGCCGCCGCGGUAA
rnacentral:rRNA from 1 species